UCCGUGAGUUUUGGAGCCUGC
rnacentral:siRNA from 1 species